rnacentral:rRNA from 1 species
GCCCCAAACUAAGCCAAUCAAACACCCAAACCCCCCCCCCCCAUUAACCAAAACAUUUGCCUCGGCCAGUAAAUGAGAUUAAACCCCACCACUUGGCCUUAAAAGUACCGCAAGGGAAAGAUGAAAGAACAAUGAAAAACCUUAAGCAAAAAACAGCAAAGAUAAACCCCUGUACCUUCUGCAUCAUGGUCUAGCAAAACACUUUCAGACAAAGAGAAGCUUUAGCCUGACCCCCCGAAACCAAACGAGCUAUUUUUUGGCAGCCUUAAUAGAGCACACCCGUCCCUGUAGCAAAAGGGUGGGAAGACCAAAAACUAGGGGGCGAAAAGCCUAUCGAGCUUGGUGAUAGCUGGCUACUCAUAAAAGAAUUUAAGUUCAACCUUAGGCUUUCACGAUAGUACUUACAAACUUUUCUUCUCAGCCCAAGGAGACUCAAUGGGGGUACAGCCCCAUUGAACCGGAAUACAGCCCGAACCGAGAGACUUCCCCACUUUACUCUACAGUAGGCCUCAAAGCAGCCACCAAAAACUGCGUUACAGCACGAACAAAAUAAUUCUAAUAACCUACUCACCCUCCCGACUUAAUUUGAGUUAUUCUAUAUUGAUAUAGAAACACCAAUGCUAAAAUUAGUAAUAAGAAAUGAUUAUUUCUCUUUGCACCCCCUUGAAUCAGAAUAGAAAAACUACUGAUAUUUAACAAUUAAACCAACUUCUUUUCUUACACCAGCUUAAACGUUGACUUAACAUUGUCACCCCAACACAGGCGUGCAAAAAAGAAAGGCAAAAAGCCGCAAAAGGAACUCGGCAACAAAUUGUCCCAACUGUUUACCAAAAACAUAGCCUUUAGCUUUACGAGUAUUAAAGGUCCCGCCUGCCCAGUGACUCUUUAAACGGCCGCGGUAUCCUAACCGUGCAAAGGUAGCAUAAUCACUUGUCCCCUAAAUAGGGACUGGUAUGAAUGGCUAAAUGAGGACUAAACUGUCUCUUGCGGACUGGCCAAUGAAAUUGAUUUUCCAGUACAAAAGCUGGAAUGUACCCAUAAGACGAGAAGACCCUGUGGAGCUUCAAAACCAAAUCACCCGGCAUGUUCAUUGGAUUUUUAGUUGGGGCGACUUCGGAAUAUAAUAAAACUUCCAAAAUAAAUUAAUUUCAUCAAGAUUAACACACCAAAAUUUCUUUAUAGAUCCAGCAAAUAAUUUUAUUUAUCUGAUCAAUGAACCAAGUUACCCCAGGGAUAACAGCGCAAUCUCCUUUUAGAGUCCAUAUCGACAAGGGGGUUUACGACCUCGAUGUUGGAUCAGGACACCCCAAUGGUGCAGCCGCCAUUAAAGGUUCGUUUGUUCAACGAUUAAUAGUCCUACGUGAUCUGAGUUCAGACCGGAGAAAUCCAGGUCGGUUUCUAUCUAUGCAGCACUAUCUUUAGUACGAAAGGACCAAGAUAGUAGGACCUCUUCCAAAAGAACGUCCUAAUUAAAAUUACUGAUCACUGCUAAAGUAAUAAACAUGCCCCCCCCCACCCCUAAACUAGGGCUU